UACGUAGGGGGCAAGCGUUGUCCGGAUUUAUUGGGCGUAAAGCGCUCGCAGGCGGCCCGAUGCGUCGUGCGUGAAACACCCCGGCUCAACUGGGGAGGUCGUGCGAUACGGUCGGGCUUGAGGCCAGUAGGGGAUGCGGAAUUCCGGGUGUAGUGGUGGAAUGCGUAGAGUAUCGGAAGGAACACCAGCGGCGAAGGCGGCUCCACGAGCUGGUCUGACGCUCGGUGCGAAAGCGAUGGGGAGCAGAGGACGUAAGAUCGA
rnacentral:rRNA from 1 species